CUGGAGAUGAUGCAUACACUAUGACAGCUGACUAUCCGUGAAGGUGUUCGUAUUCAUACUGUCUGAUCCAG